GCGGCAGGCCUCAUACAUGCAAGUCGAGGGGCAGCAUUUAUUUCGGUAAAUGGCGACCGGCGAACGGGUGCGUAACGCGUAUGCAACCUACCUUUAACUGGGGCAUAGCUCGAAGAAAUUCGAAUUAAUUCCCCAUAGUACAAUAUUAUCGCAUGAUAUAAUUGUUAAAGAUUUAUUGGUUAAAGAUGGGCAUGCGUCUGAUUAGUUUGUUGGUGAGGUAACGGCUCACCAAGACCACGAUCAGUAGGGGUUCUGAGAGGAUGAUCCCCCACAUUGGUACUGAGACACGGACCAGACUUCUACGGAAGGCAGCAGUAAGGAAUAUUGGGCAAUGGGCGAAAGCCUGACCCAGCCAUGCCGCGUGCAGGAUUGAAGACCUUAUGGGUUGUAAACUGCUUUUAUAUAGGAAGAAAAUACUCUUGCGAGAGUAACUGACGGUACUAUAUGAAUAAGGACCGGCUAACUCCGUGCCAGCAGCCGCGGUAAUACGGAGGGUUCAAGCGUUAUCCGGAUUUAUUGGGUUUAAAGAGUGCGUAGGUGGUUUAUUAAGUCAGUGGUGAAAUCCUGCAGCUCAACUGUAGAACUGCCAUUGAUACUGGUAAACUUGAGUUUGGUUGAGGUAAGCGGAAUUUAUGAUGUAGCGGUGAAAUGCAUAGAUAUCAUAAGGAACACCAAUAGCGUAGGCAGCUUACUGGACCAAUACUGACACUGAGGCACGAAAGCGUGGGUAGCGAACAGGAUUAGAUACCCUGGUAGUCCACGCCGUAAACGAUGCUCACUCGAUGUUAGCGAUAUACUGUUAGCGUCCAAGCUAAAGCGUUAAGUGAGCCACCUGGGUAGUACGCCG
rnacentral:rRNA from 1 species